rnacentral:lncRNA from 1 species
AUGUCAUCAACCCAUCCUCCCAGUGCCACCAACCCAGCACUGCAGUGCUGCCAACCCAUCCUCCCGAUGCCACCAACCCAACUUCCUGGUAUCACCAACCCAUCCUCCCAAAGCCUUCAACCCAUCGUACCAUUGUCACCAAACCAUCUUUGCAAUGCCACCAACCCAUCCUUCCAAUGUCACGAACCCAUUCUCCCAAUGACACCAACCCAACUUCCUGGUAACACCAACCCAAACUCCCAACGUCACCAACCCAGCACUGCAGUGCUGCCAACCCAUCCUCCUGAUGCCACCAACCCAACCUCCCAACGCCACCAACGCAUCCUCCCAAUGCCACCAACCCAAUCUCCCAGUGUCAUCAACCCAACCUCCCACUGCCACCAGGCUUUGUCCAAGGCAUCCAACACAGUCCCACAGCUGCCCUCACCUCUUCCCCUCCCUAUCCAUAGGUUUUUCCCACCCUCUCUGUGCGUGUUACACCCAAACACGAGGCUAUGGGGUCCAAAGGCACUGACACUCACCAUGCGUCGGCGCAGACCCAAAGCUCUCUCCCUGAUGCUUGUCUUGGUGAGGAACGCUCAGCGCUGCAAGCCCACGGAGCUCAGGAGCAUCCGAUCCCCCGCGGGGUCUCCCAUCCCAGAGGAGAACAACUGGACCAGUUCUACCUGUGUGCCAGUUCCCCGGGCAGGUAGGGCCAGCGGGAAGAAUUCCUGCCAUUCCAGAUGGUUGAGUCACGGUGUCCCCACUGCCAUCCUUCGCCUUCAUCUCCUCCUCCCAAGAGGGGCUGAGUCAGCGCCGUGGGCGCAGCGCUCGCAGCCUCCCCCCCGGGCUGCUCCUCUAUGGGACUGCGUUCCCACGUCCCCCCCCCACCCCCCCCCUCUUCCCUCGUGGGUUUGUUGGCACAGAGGUGCCGCACAGGGGAGGGGUGUGGGGGGGGUCCUGCUGACUCAGCUCUCUGCACAAUGCAGCCGAGGGAGAAACAAAGCGGAACCAGGGCAAAUGCAUCGAGUUGGGGCAUGUGCUGUGCAGCCGUGCCUGGCAGGGUGGUGGCCUGGGGACGGAAGGCUCCUGUUUGCUGCAGGUCCCAGUUCCUCCGCUCGCUUUCCCCCAAUGGGCACUGAGCUCUGUUUACCCUGGAAGAGGACAAAGGGCACGGGGAGGCCUCCAGAGCCUGCAAGUCUCACUGAG